rnacentral:tRNA from 1 species
AUUUAUAUAAUAUAACAAGUAUUUUUGACUUCCAAUCAAACAGUCUAAUUUUUAUUAGUAUAAAUA